UACGUAGGUGGCAAGCGUUAUCCGGAAUUAUUGGGCGUAAAGCGCGCGCAGGCGGUUUCUUAAGUCUGAUGUGAAAGCCCACGGCUCAACCGUGGAGGGUCAUUGGAAACUGGGGAACUUGAGUACAGAAGAGAAAAGCGGAAUUCCACGUGUAGCGGUGAAAUGCGUAGAGAUGUGGAGGAACACCAGUGGCGAAGGCGGCUUUUUGGUCUGUAACUGACGCUGAGGCGCGAAAGCGUGGGGAGCAAACAGG
rnacentral:rRNA from 1 species